CUCAUGAACAGCAGGUUUGAGCCUUCAGACACGCUUUCUCCCACAGCCAGCAUACGUGGUGAGAUCUCAUCCUGUAGAGGCUGUGCUGGUGGCAGAAGUGAAGGCAGGCCUUUCUCAGAUUAUUUUAGCUAAACCAGUGAUUUCCAGACUUUUUUUUCCUACUUACGGAAGUCUGAAUGUUUCGCAUUGGGGGCCUGAACUCUUUUUACAAGAAGCUAUGCUUAUUUACUAUCUUGCUGCUCAUGUAAAUUCUUUGGUGCAUUUUGCAGACCUUUAGAAAGAGGCUGUAUGCCUAAAGGGACCCCAUAGAACCCCCCCCUGUUUAAUGAAGCUAUUGAUGCUCGUGGCCUUUUAUUUUCAUAAGCUGUGUGACAGUGAAGACAAGGAUGCAGAGCUGCAAGCUCUUCUCACCUUCAAGAAAUUAGGAAUACUUUUUAUUUGGACGAGAAUUUCAAUAGAAUUCCCAGCACUGAUGUCCCACAAGGCUCCUCUUGUGAGGUGUCACGUUGCCCAGGAGACAGACUGAGCAACUGAGAAAUUCUGCAAGUUUUUGAAAAAGAGAUUUAUAUAUAAAUGUGUUAUGGGAAAAAAAAUACCUCUGCUCAUACACAUGAUAACAAACACUAACAUAAAAUGAAGUGAAAUAUUGGAGAGCCUGCUUUUAUACCCCUUUUAAAACUGAACACAAAAGCCAAGUGAGAUCAUCGGGUUUAUUAGGCAAGAUAUUUCCAGUAAAGAUGGGGAAGCACUCCUGCCACCAUACAAGGAACUGCUCAGCCUCCGUCUGGAAAGUCACAGCCAGCUCCCAUCAUCUGUCUUUGGGAAGGAGAAAUCCGAAGCAGGACUCAGAAGACGGCUGGACUGUGAGGGACACAGAAGUGGCCGUGUGGGAUGUUCAGUGUGGCAGAGCUGAAGAGAGGGCGCUGGCUUCUGUAGACACAGCAGAAAGAAGAAGGUUACAUAAAUGACAGUAAAUCUUUGGACGACAGAGUGACUAUAAACUGGCAUGGAAAACACUGACACUGGAAAUGAGGGUUCUGGGCCUUGGAGCAACCAGGUUCUGCAAGACCUCGCAUCAGGAGAGCAGAGCCAGGUCCUGUUGCAUAACCCACACACGAACAGGUUGGCAUGUGAUGCUGUGAAAGCGGAGUCUGGCUACAGUGAUCAUCUCCAGUCCCAUGUGCUCCUAGAAUACCAAUAAUUUCUUCCACUGGCCUUGCAAUUCCACAAGCAGCUGUCUAGCUGUGAUCUUCCAGAGAGCCAAAGGGGAAAGCUGUGGCCCUAUGCCCUACAGUGGAGCUCUCCAAGACAUUGCGCCAGAGACUGCAGCUUACUGAGAGUGCUACGGAAUGGGAUCUAGGAGCUGCAACACCGUUUGCUUAAUGGCCAGCAGUGACAGAGUUAUAAAUCAACAAGGCACCUAUUACCUUCAAUGGAAAACGGUAAUCUGGUUUUUCUCCUAGCGGCUUCUGUUGCAAUAAUCACGUGCUUGCGGCCUCCUCCAGGGUACAGUGCAAUGCAUCUCCCUUGCAGCAGUCACAUCCCUGCCCCUGGGAGCCCUCCCAGCUCAGCAGGGCACUGAGCAUUCCCUCGACCGCUGGGAGCUGCAGGGACUCAGUGCCUGAGCUCAGCCCUCCAGCAGGAUGUGUGCAGCUUCGCUCCACUUUUCACCAACAGCUGCAGGGCAGCCUGGAAAUGGAGUUGUAGGAAGGGAAGGGAUCCGUAGGGCUGCUUUCUUCCUGCUUUUUUCCCCACUCACAGGUAUGGAGGGCUGUUGAGCACCGCGGAGCUCCGCGUUCAGAGCACCCUGCACAGGAGGCAGCACGUGGCCGCAAUGGUAGCACCCUGGUGUCAGGUGUCUGUCUUAGCCUCUUCCCAGCAAGGUCUCCAUCUAAAUCAACAGGAGCUCUCUGGACUCCGAACCAUGGCAUACGUGUAUUUUUAGAAGCCAAUCAAUCAGUGGUGACUGUUCAAGUUCAGACAAGUCAAACACAGCCUGCAAAGUUACACAGAAGCACUGUGUGUUGUAGAAGGGUUGGUGAGCCUGCUUAUUAUUUGGUGUGCAGUGCCAAAUCCAUGAGCUACCAAGGCUGGGUUCUUUUCAGAGAGAUAUCCAUAAGAAGUGUAAGUAUAAACAGACUGUGGAUUGUGGCACACGCUUUUUAAUUGAAGCAAUAAAUGACUGUUUGUGCUUCCACAGAAGCCCUCUUUCAAGGUGCUGUGUGUUUUCCAAACUUUAACACAGCCCUUGGUUCAGGGUUUGUCAUCUGGGCCUUUCUGUAGGUGAGGAAACUGAGGCACAGGAGAAUGUAGAUGCUGCCAAGGAGCUACAGAGACUGUGAAGUCCCAGCUUGUCUCCAGAAAAGUGCUGCACUGGGCGAAGAAAACAAACACCUGUGCCCUGGCUUCCCUUCACAGUCUGAUCAGCGGAACCAGCAGCAGAGGGGUUAGUUAGGUCAGCACCUCUGGGCAGCAGCAGCAGGUUGACUUUUCAGUGGCUUUGGCUACAAGGCAGGAACGUCCCGAAGCCUUUCUGCGUGUUUCUUCCAAGUGCAUGAGCUGGGGUUUGGAAACGGUGAGCACAGAGCAGGUAUACAAAUAUAAAAAAUGAUCAUAAUGAAUCGUAUCCCUUCAUGAACAGUGCAGAGGCUCAGUAGUUGUGAGGAAGCAGGCACAGCCUGGAGUCAAGCUGGACCUCGAAGAUCAGACACCAACCAGUCAGUGAGCAGAUUAGAAAAUGCCAGUGUUCUGAUUUCCAGAGCCUCAGUUUAUCCAGCUUGAAAGUGGAACUGAUACUUUCCUAUGUCGCUGACCACUCAAUCAAGAAACGUGGCCUUGGCCUCUUCUGUUUCUCUUCUUCUUCAUGUCCUUCCCUCCUUUACAAGACAUCUGCUCCAGAACUUCUGGUUGGAGUCUUUGCACAGCUGCACAAAAUGUAGUGCAUGAUCUGAUUCUCAAAUUGGGUUUAACUCAUAUGUACAGUGCCAGCUGGAGGGGCCUGCUGAGCUUUUGCUGAUGCAUCAGAUAUAUAUUUUUAGGAAGGUUUCUCUAUAAUUAUCACAUUAUAGCUCCUUCUGGAUCACUCAGAGUAUAGUAAACAAUUGCUAUACUUGUUAGAGGUCAUGAAUACAGAAAAACAUUCCUCUGUGUGAGGUCUGCUGUUAAAUAAUAACUUGUCUUUUCAUGGCGUGGGGGGAGUGAAUGCCCUCGAAGGGACGUGCUGACAUUGUUCAAGCCAGUGAUCCAGUUCCUGUAAUUUACACCACUUUCUUAAAGCUGCUUCUCUGCACAAGAACAAUGGAUGUGCUGAGGGACAGCUGUUGCCCUGCUGCAGCUCCUGUUGCCUUGUGUGUUGAUCCUCUCUCCGGUUUCUCUGCUGUGCUGCUGCAGCAACACACGGAUGGAUCCCUGCUGGAGGCCUUGGAGGUGAUGGGCAGCUGGGUGAGGAAGGUGGUUACCGGACAGCUGUGCAGGGUGCAGCCCUAGGCAGAUGGGGCAGGUGAGUGGCAUUAGAAGGUGAUCACACAAAGAGAUGAUUAAUGAGUAAUUUCGUGAUCAGUGAGUUGAAUGAACAGCACUCACCUUUGUGGCAUCUCUGCUAUCUGGUAUAGAGGGAGCAUUCACUGCUGUCUUUUCCUCAGGGGAUGCUAAUGGUGUCCGUGUCCUCCGUCUGUCAUCUGCCUGUCUGGGACCUUCGGGGCUCUGAGAAAUCCUCCUCUCUGUCUCCUUGAAAUAGUCUGACACGAUCAAGAACUACUUGCACACAUUGGGCUCACACAGCGCUCCAUGUAAAGCUUUAUUCCCUUGGGAAAUCCAGGCUUUACAGUAAUCACCUUGCUGUUCAACCAGGCGUAACAUGCAGUUGUGAUUUUCAUAGUACAGUAGAAAAGUGAGGAUCUGGCUAUGGCUGAAAUCAGUUAACAGAACAGAUAAGUUAGGGAUCCCAGAGCCCCUGGAGUCCUAUCUCAAGACCAAAGAAGAAACUAAGAUGUCUGACGGAGCUGCAGAAGUGGGGUAGAGCAAUGAGCUCCAACCAGACAGGUGACAGAUGUGUCCAUGAUGACAUCUCACAGUCCCUCCCUGUGGCAUGGGAAUCUGCCCUUUCAUACGUGGUCAAAAGAAAAUUAGGUCUUGGCAAAAACGUAGCAAAUUUAAGAGCUCAGUCUGGAAGGAGCUCAGCAGGGAGGCGUAGGAGCUGACUGCAGCAUUUCAAAGUCUUUCUAGAAGCUGUGGUUUGGAGAGGAAAAGGGGAUGAAAUCUUCCAUGUUGCAGCAUGCAAGAACUCACCAGCUCUACCUCUUCAAAUGUCGUUGUGACAUGGCUCCACCAUAUUCAUACUCAUGACUGAAGGAAUGGCAGACUCCAUACUCAGCCCCUUGCUUCUUGCUUUUCUUGGUUUGUGUUGCAUGCUCCAUGUUGUUUUAAUGUAGUUCCUAGUAUUUAAUGCAUUUUUAUUGCUUUCUCUAAUAACAUUGACUGAGUGCUAGGAGCCAAUCUAAACAAGCUGUGCCAAUAAGCCAAACAUUUCACUUCAACCAGCAAAGCGGAUGCCUCUUACCCCUACUCACGCCUGGCUGUGCAAACCAAGGGCCUCGCUGCUCAUCAGGGAGAGCAAAGCAAAAGCCUGGCAUGGGGUGGGCAGAGCUGGGCUGUGUCCCUGUCCCUGCCACAUGUGUGCCAUCGAGGUGUGUCGGCAUCGAGGUGCGGGUCAGGCAGUGUGCAAAGCUGGCUCUUCUCGAGGGAUUAAUGCAGCAUCUUGUCUCGUGUACUUUGACAACUUGGGUCUUGGUUUUGAGAGACUGUGAGCACUUUUAAAUCCCUUUGACAUCAGUGGAAGCUGGAGUUCAUGUUCUGCAUCGCUGAAAGCCUUUCCAAGCAAUUAAAAAACAACCCCAGACCUCCUCCCCUGGUGCUGAUCUGUGGUGUGGUGUUGACGUAAGUGUACUGGAGUUUCACUUACUGCAGCUGGGUAGUUGGCACUUUUAUAGGACUUUAAAAAAAAUUUUUCUGUCUUUUGCACACUAAUCCUGAUUUUUUUUUUACUCUCUGUUUGCUUUUCUCCUACAAGCCCAGCCUUCAUGUCUGACAUCUCAGCACUGCUUCCUGUUGUUCUCUGUGAUCUCCCUUGUUCCAUCUUCUCUUCUCUGGUUUCCUCCCUUUCAUUUUAGCCUUAUUUUCCUCAGGCUGCCUGAGCCCAUCCUCCCAGAGGGGAAGUGUAUCUGUCUCAUUCCCAUCUCUGUUUCCCUCCCAGCCCCACAGCUGUUCCCACUCCGGCAGACCCGACUCCUGCUCAGAGCACCAUCUAUGUCCAACCCCUUUGCUCCAUCACUGCAGGUCAACAACAGAGAAAACUGGAAAUGCCCCAGGAGGGGGAGAUUACAGCCAAGAAAGAUCGUUCCUGCAAGGUGCCAAGUGUUGUCUCACCAGCGUUCGCCUGGACUGCUUUCAUCUGGCUGGAUGGUGGAACCCCCAUCCCCAGCACUGACACCAUUUGCAGUGUUUCAUGCCACGCAAUCCAUCAUUGCUCCUGAGAAAUUUUCGCCUUUCAUGCUACCCAAGCCUGAAAGCCAGAAACUCUGCUGUGAGGAUGUGGUGAGGUGUGAAUGUACACUUCAUUUCCAAGUGGUUCUUUUCCCCUCAUGUGCUGCACUUUACCAGCAAAGCAGUGGGCACCAUUCUCUGUGCUUUGGCCCAUGUAAUUAUGUGUUUUCUAGCUGUGCUCGGUCAAAAGUAAUCAUGGAGUUACAACCUCAGUUGGGACAGAAAUCAAUCAGUUUAACAAGUUGACUUGUGUGUGAUUACAGAUGAUACAUUCUGCCACUGAUUUGUUCUGCCAUCCUUUUGCCCUCCUAAGUGGAACACACUGCGGGGACGGAUGAAGCCAGUGAGCUGUUGGUGGUGGCACAGCCUGCCCGUCCUGCUGAGAUUCACAGACUGAUGGAAGGACAGCCCACCUCUGGCCGUCUCUGCGUUUGUAAAUCCUGUCUGGACUCAAAUGAUAUUCUGGGGAACGCAGGUCUUGACCACACACACUGUCAAUACAGGACCUUGGACUUGAACUUUGUGCCUCGGACUUCAGCUUUGUGAGCCCUUAGACAGUCCUUCUGCAGCUGCAUCAGCCCACACACAGUCACAGCUCUCAGUUGGGAGGUGGCAGGCACAAAGCUGGCACUGGCUCUGUGAUUACCUCUCUGCAAAGUCAAACAGGGCCAAAAAUAAAUGCUAGUGAAGGAAUAAACAGACGUGAAAAGAAGGCUUGGACACUUGGAGGACAAGACUGCUUUGUGUUUCCCAAAGCAAUAAGCCUCUUGACAAGGAGGUUACUCUUUCAGAAAAACACGAGUCCUGUGACAGUGCCAAGCUCUUUCUACAGAGUUUGAACGUGCACCAGUUUGGCAGCAGAAGACAGCUUCCAUCUAUCUCAGAUAGCAACGUGGCCCCAGCACUAUGGCUGUAUCACCUGCAUGCUGGCUUGGGAAGAGGGCCGUGCUGCUGCCGCUCUGGAGGAAGCAGGUGAAGACACUGCAUCAGCUACAUGAGGAAACAGUCUGUGGCUUCGUAUGCUGGACCGGUCUUAGAAAUCAAAGGCAUCAAAGCAGAAAGUCCUGAAGCAAACAACUCCAAAGGCAGCGACCUGCAAGGCAGCCUUGAGCAGCACAAGUUUCUUUGCUCCCAGCCCAUCCUUAGCAGACAGAGUGUGCCUGUCUUGUGCCCAUUACCUCCCUUACCUAAUCACACAACUGCUGGGACCAGGAUUGUCUUUUAGGGCUUGCUUACACAGAGCAGUUGACUAUUCUGCAAUAGCUGCUGCAGGAUGACUUCACGUGAACGCGCUCAUUCCACAGCGGCUGUUGGAGCUCCUGAUUCAUACCAUACCUUAACUGGAGUCGUGUCAGCAAGUCAGUGUGCUUUACAGAGUUAAGCAAGACCCAGGACCCAGUUUGGGGUUUCUAGCCACUUCUCCUUUACAUAGAGUUGAGCUUUAAGAAAAGCAGUUGAAAUGUUCCUGAGAAUGACAAAUAACAAAUGAGUAAUGCUUGCUGUGGAGCCACACAGCCCAAUUAAAAAUAGGUAAGUGAUGUGUAAAGGCAAGUCUGUGCAGUCUGUGUAGAGAGAAGGAAAAAAAUAAAAAUAAGCAUGCAUUUCUAAUCUAUUGGCGCAGUCACAUGGAGCAGAAUUCAUUGAUAAAAAUAUCAAUUAAUUGAUAGAGAAAGCCUUUUCAAACAGGUAAUGAUUAAAACAACCAGACACUGGGAAGGGGACAGUUAGUGUUGUGGAGCCAGAUUAAUUUGAUUAUCCAUCUCCCUAGGUAAAGUUAUUAAAGGAGAAAAGCUUUUUGUUGUAGAGUUCAAUGAAAACAAAAACUUAACACAUACAAGCUCUCAGAAAUGCAAACAAGGUGUUAGAAUGCAUGAUGGAGAAUAAUUGAAUAUUACAAUUCUGUUUAACAAA